rnacentral:snoRNA from 1 species
AACCUCCAGACUCCUUCCCCCUCAUAUCUAAAGAUUGGUCUGAGUGUCUAAAAAUGGAGGAAAAGUGCAUCCAAAGCGAACUUGGAGUCUUUAAUGACAUAUAAGUUCAUUUCAAACCUGU